CUUUCAGUCUCCCAGGGCAUAGCAAGCAAAGCAAGGUAAGUUAUCUUGACACCCAGUCCUCGAGCAGCAGAUCUUUUGGGGAAUGAACAAAGUGCUCUGUAAAGCCAGCCUGGCUUAUCGUCAGAGUCAACUGUAUCCUUGAAAAGUACAGCUGGGGUUAGGGAAACUGCAGAGAACACUUCUGUUACACUGACGUGUGUCUCCAAGCAAAGGAAUCAUCAUAACUUCAGUUUCAGGAGAAGGUCAAAAAGAGAAUUUCCCAAAUGUAUCAACUGAAAUUCUCAGAAGCCCUGACAAGAAUGUGCUAAGUGAUUGAACACAGGAAAAACUCAAAGUCCUGUGAAAACAGUGCUGAGCAAGUAAUGCUUGGUCCUACUGUCCUGCCUAUCAGUCUGGACCACAUGGCAGCAGCCUUUGGCCACAUCUAUUUGGAGUUUGGGGAAACCAGUGAUCAGAAGCCAAGUCAAUGGAAGAUUUCUCCCAAUUUAGAAAAUUAUAGCAAAUACAUUGAUUAGCUAUUUAUGAAUUUUUCAAAUUGUGGUUGAGAGGCCUAAGCAUGGGAUUUGAAGACCAGUGACAAGAGGAACGCUGCUGUGCACAAUCUAAGCCACUACACCUCUUUCACCAUGGACUGAGGUAACAAAAGCAUCAUGUGGUCUAAAUUCAGCCAACUUUUAUAACCAACUUGGUAACACAUCCAGAUUGAAAUCUGGUGUCCCUGAAAUACCUGCAAGACUUUCUUCGAAUCCCAUGCUACGCCAUGAAGAGUGUUGCAGUCAAGCUUUUAACUCAGUCCUGUGGUCGCCAUGUGCUCAACAAACAGCAGAGGCAGAACAACCGGCCCUAACGCAGCGGGAGCGAUCCCUCCUUCGCAUUUGCCGUGACUAUAGCCAAGGUGCAGUGUUGAACACCGCGCGGUAGUGAGACUCGACAUUUCGACCUGACUUCCUGGCCCAAGCUGGCCACAGCAAUGCCAGCCAGGUCUGUGUCCAGGAGAGAAAAGCAAAUGAUGGUGAGUAUCCAUAGGUUUCUAAAGGAAGGCUUCCACUUUAUUUGAAGCUAGAGCAGCUCCAAGUUCCAGCAUCUGUUUUUAUGCUUUAAAUUACCCCAAGUAGUUUCUUCAUUUUCCAAAAUUGCACUUCCUUAAAAUGCUUCGUAUUACACUAUCACAUUUUACUGUGCAUUAAACAUCUGGUAUCAACAGCCUAAACAACGAAAAAGCAUGAUUAUGCUGUCAGACUUAAUAAUUCAGAAAUAUUAACCAGCUCUUAUACUAUCAGGAGUUUUUCAUGUGAAAUUGGCCCUUGAUGUGUAUUUUGCACUUAUGAGACUUUGCACAUACCAGCAUAAGAUAACAGUGUUCAAUCUUUCAUGUAACUAACAGAGUUAAUUUGCCUAAAUGAAAUCACUUUAUCAGCAAUACUCUUGCCCUGGAAAAACCAAGGGAUUAUCAUAGUUUGUUAAAACAUACCAAACUGCGAUCUAGAAAAUGGGGGCGGGAGGGACUUCUUCUGUGCAAUAAUAGAUUAGGAAAGCUAUUUAGCCUUAAGCAAACUUGAGAGCUAUGGAGGCUGAACCAUGUGGAAGGAGACCAUAAAGCUCCUUGCCUGUUCAGUAACCAAAUGACUGCUGCUUAGUUAGCUGUAAGCUUCAGUUUGAGACCUUUUGCUCCCAUAUUUAAUUAAAACAUCAUUGUCAUCUUCUGUGAGUACUGAGCUGUAAUAGUGCAGGCCCAUUCAAGAUCUGUUUCUUAAUUGGUCUUAAAUAGGUUAAUUGCAAUUCAAAGAACAAGUCAUUACCAGUGGGAUGCAAGUGUAUGAUGCAAUGGGACUGAGCAUGAGCUAUUGGCUGGAAUGCCUGAUGAACAGCAUAGCUAUUAUUUUAAGGUUAUGGUUGGAAACGUUUUUAUUACGUAGAUUUCUGGAAUUUCUUUCGCCAGCCACCUCCUCCUUCUUACCUUUGCUCUGUGGGAUCUACCCCCACAGCUGUUCCAAACUUCACAUCCACUGCUUGUGCGUCUCUGCAUUAACGAAAGGGCCGGGAACCUUCGGUGAAUGGCACACCACUGAUAAUGGGGGUUAUUUUAGGGACUUUUUUCUUCUCCUUAGUAAUCCUGAGUUACAUUCUCAGGACAACAAAAUGGAUGCAAUUCUGACUACCUGUGAAGUCUGACUGCCUACAGGAAACAGCUCUUAAACCCUCGUGGGGUCCCCAACGCAUCUGUAUGAGAGUGGUAUGAACAUGUACCCAGGAUUUAAUGGCACCGUCAUUACAUCACGAACACUUUCGUAAUCAAAGCACUUCACAGUGAUACCGCAAGCAUUUUCCAACUUGUCCAAUUGCACUGGAUUGAAUAACGCUCUGCAGCUUUGUUGCCCACUUUACCAAAAGACGCUAUUAAUAUAUUAAUGCUUCUGUAUGGUGGGCUCUUGAUGGACAGACUUUUCAGGUAGUCUCCUUAAAAUACUGUUGUAUAUGGAAAAUGUAUAGUUAUAUAAUCCUCCGAAAGUCAAAGUAGUUUAAGCAUUCAACUAGGUAGAUACAGACUUUGCAUGAAUGUUUUAAGGAAAGUUGCAUUUUUAAUCCUUUUACUGGCUUCUAGUCCUGUCAGGCACAUAGUAACAUCCCCUGGAAAUUGAACAGAGGAUAAUGUAAACCUCUUCAACAGGCAAUGAAACUACUGUCUUCCCCAAAUAACCUGAAGCACCAGAGUCUGGCAUGUUCCUUGGCAUAAGGAACGAAAACUUGCCUCCAUCUUUGCUCACCUCUGCUUCAACCUACAGGUCCGGGUGCAAUUGCACCACUUGCACACUCAAUGGCUAUGGUCCUGGGAAGCAGAACCAUAUUUCUUCUGUACAUCUCAGGGCUUUAUACUGCUGCCAGGAGUCCUGGCACUAUAUGAAGGCAUUUGCAAUAGCAAAGUGCACAGAAGGAUUCGGGGAAUCUCCAAUACAUUUAAGGCCAAGACUCUGCUGGGGUAUGGCUUUCUCAGAUAAGAAUUUGAGAUGGAAAGAGAGAAAGGUGUUCAAAUUGUGCAUUGUAAUUUCUGGGGAUGAAAGGCUUUCCCGUGGCUUUUGCAACAUUUCCUAAAGCUAUUUUCCUUUGGGCUGUUGUUCCUUAGCCAGAUGCCCUGAACAUAGAACACUGUGUCCCCAGCUUUGCUUUUAGCUUUGUGGUCAGUGUAGUCUCAGAAGAGCUUAGCUGUCAGCAGGAUUCAUAGAUGCAAAUUUGAUGCAACUGGGGGUUAAAUCAUGAAUUAUUUUCAAAAUUAGGACAAAGGUCUUAGUUCGCAUUGAAAAAUGAUAUCAAGGCAGCAGAGGACUUGUGUGCAAAAUCAUAUUUAGGAAGUCCCUGUCUCCUGAUAUCCUGGCUGGUACUUUGCUGGUUGGUACUAGCUCUAGACAAUAGAAUUUGCUGUCAAGAGCAGGCAAAUCUGUAUUCUUCCCCUUAUUCUUGCAUUUGGCAUAAUAAUUACCUAAAGAUCUUGUUUUCAAGGAGGUACAAAAAAGCACAUUUAACAUGCCUGAGAAAACACCCCAAGUAUGCAGGCAGUGGCAACGGAGCAGGUGGAUGGCAAAAAGAAGGUUAUUUUUAGGACUUUGCAAAACUGAAAUCUGAAGACUCAAAGCAUGGCACAUAGGUCACUGAACAGCUGUUAGACCAUGAGCACUCUCAGUCUGUAUUCAAAUCAGUGAGCUAGAGGUAAAAGAACAGAUUUUCACGUACUGCAUGUUCUCCUUCAACUGUUUUUGUUAAUGAAAUUUUACAAAUCGGAAAAAGUGACAGUGCACUCUGGGUGGGAUUCAAUCGACCACAUAAAGGUAUCUGCAGAAGAGACUCCAUGUAUGAGUUACUUGCCUUGACCCCUGUGUUAGCAGCAGGAGACAUACUCUUCCAAGACGUGAUUUAUACCAUCAUAAAGCAGAUAUCUAAAACAGGUCAGACAGAUACCUUCUCCUUCUCUCUGUUGACGACCAAAGAAGCCAAGGGAGAAAAUUUCAGACAUUCAAAUUUUUUGAGAUCAUAAACCCCUUAUACCGACGCUGAGAAAGUCAGAACAAGGAUCAAAUUUUUUAUACAUUAAUGUUCAGGGAAACACUAGGCAACAAAACCCAAACAGAAAAUUUUCACCAACUAAAUAGAGUCUUCACAGGUCCAUUUAGCUGAUGACAGUUAUUCCUGUGUGCAAUAUCAGGACUGAAAAGAUUACUUAGUCUCAAACUUUACAGAGAAGGUGUAGACAAAUAAACUACCAUUAGUCUUGAGUCUUUCUGCAGUGGGAGGAUCAACAGCCUCCAAAAGUAUCAUCAAAACAAGUGGUAGAAUUACUGCUGAUCACUACCCACAGGGGUUUAGGACACGUACAAGUCAUGGUUUGCAGGUAGAGAUAAUAUCUGCCAUCAGAACAGCUGAAGUAUUAAACAAGCUAGAAGCUUUUAGGCAUGCAAACCUUUUCUCAGCUCUAAAAAUUUGGCUUUUUCAAACAGAGAUGGGGAACUUCUGACCUAAAUACAAAUGGAGAACACUUGCCUAGUUGCAUAUUAUUCACUAACCUAAGGCCUCAUUUUAAUGUACAUUUAGCGGUACCCUAUUCUGUGAAUAAUCUUUCCCAUAUCAAUUGGUUAUUUUGAAAUAUGGUCCUUAUUAAUCAAGUCUGUGUGGCUAUUGGUCUCUUGCUGAUAAAUAACAAAAGUUUUUGAUCAUGUAUGAUACUUUAGUCACAUGAAAAGAACAAAAGCUUCACAUGUGAGGUUAGGAACAAACACAGAAAAAUACUAUAGUAAGUCGACUGUUGGGGCAAAUUGAAGAGUCAAGUAACUUGGACACAUCAGGAUCUAUGUGAAAGUCUUUUCUAUAUUUUUCCCACACUUCUGUUCAUAUUUCAUCAAUUUCCACUAUCCUCCAUUGACAGAGAUGAUUGAAACCUGCAUUACAGCUUGAUAAAUACCUCUUCUUAAAAAGAUCUCAAGACCAAUGUAACAUGACAGAAAACAAAUCCUUACACUUGAAAUCUAAACACCUUUCUCGUCCAAUUCUUCCAACUACCAUAAGCUAAAAAAAGAAAGAUGAGUCUGGGAUUUAAAAUAAUUUCUAUUAAUCAUGGAAUUUCACUCUUUUGAGACCAACAAAUUAUUUUCCCUUGAUAAUACUUGAAAUAUAGUAAAUAUUUGGAAAAAAACCCAAAAUCAGACAAACAAAGAUUUCCCUGCAGAAAUCCAAGGUUACCUGGCCUCAUUACCAAUCCUGAUUUGGCAGAUGUGGACUGUCUGUGUUGUCAGAAGGUAAAUACAAGGCAUUUUAUUAUUUUCAUUUGCCCUUUUCUGUUUAUCCCAAUUAUUUGAGAUGCUGGUAGCAUUUAAAAGAAAGUUGUGUAUUGCAAUACCUUCUUAUUCUGUGUUGUAUUACAUACAGCUGUAAUUUUGUGAUUUUACAAGCCAUUUACUUUCCUAUUGCUCUACAGAUUCUCUGAAUUUCUGAAUUAUUGUAUAUAUAAUUAUAAUUGUUAACUUAGAAACAAACCUAUGUGCACCAAGACAUAAGUUUUCCUGAAGGACUGGAAAAGAAUCGGUGGAGAAGACUCAACAGAAUAGGAAAGAUUUAUUGACACAUUUCCCAAAAGUAUGGCUUUGUAAGGCUCUGGCAAUGACUGUAAUAUGGAACUGAGAACAUCUGUUAUUGGAGGUGGAUGAUUUUCUGUCUACGCCUUGAUCCAUAUCAGGAUGUGAGCGCUGCAUCAGUUUCAUGUGAAAAAAACCCGUGAACAGCCAGGCAGGAGGACAGUGAUCUUUCACCAGAGACUUGUCCCUAAGCCAGUAGAAGUCAGCAAGAGGACCCUGAGGCAUGUUCGUAGUGCAACUCAAAAGCAGUCACUCUGCACGCAAAACAAAGAGGCUGUGCCCUUCGUGUGGGGAAAGGCAGCGACAACGCACUGUAACACCGAGACUCGCCAAGCUUUUCAUACAGCUCGUUCGAGCAGCAGGUAAACCACUGGCUACGCUCAUGGUUUGUCCUGAGAUACGGGAAGUAUUGCUACUUCCAUUUUACAGGUGAAGGCCCUGAGGCAGAGGUGUGACAAGCUGCUUGAAAUAAUGCAAUGAAUUAGUGUCAAAGGCAGGUUUAGGAGGCCCAUUUGGUAGUGCCUCAGCCCUGUUUCCAUUCUCCAGGACCCUGUUUCCUCAGAAGACCGUGGCUUUCCUGGUUCCUACAUAGCCACGGUUUGUUGAUUGUGUUAUUUUUUCCCAAAUAACGUUUAUGGAAGCUAAAAUAUCUCUGAGUUACUACUAUCAUAAUAGAUAUAUGAAAACCUAAAAACUGGGGAGCCAGUUCUAAAGGCUAUUUUGAUUUCAGUGAAAUAAAGACAUUAAUAAAAGAAUUUCAGGGCUAUAUCAGAAAUUCCUUUCAUAGGAAGAAAAGGAAAAAGCCCAGUAGUAACACGUGGAAACAUAAUCUUUUAUUUUUAGAAGAAUGGUAAUAUUUCUCCACAAGUAACACCUGAUUAAGCAAACUUAUUGAAUAAGGUCCAUUAUGUCUGCUUGAAAAAGCUAUAAGUUGAGACAUUUUAAGAUAAUCAGAUUGUAAAAGUGCACUAAAUUCUCACCAUUAAGCUACCUCACCUUCAUUGAAUCCUGAAUUCUCAUUACAACUAAUCAUAUUUCCAUGCAAAGUAAAAAUAAUUCAGGUACUUGAAACUGGGAUAUAUUCUGCUCUCAAUACUCAUGUACAUCUACUAGCGGUAAUGGCAGUUAGACACCAAGUGGCAAAUAUAUAUGUAUAUAUAUCCCAAGGUAUUUGCAGGGUGACAGGUACAGCGGGUAUUUUGGUGAGCAGACAAAACAGGAAGAAGCCUGUAUAUCCCAAACACCGGUUUAUCUUCAGACUGGAGAUUUUAGAGCAUUUAUUUAUCUCCAUUUGCAAUACAGCUUCGCUGAGGAUGGGAUUCAGCUCAUUUAAUCUAAGCCACCAAAAGUUAGAUACCUAAAUUUAAACUAGCUAUCUAGAAAUGUCUCUUUCUUUACACUAUCGAGGGAGCUGAGGCAGUGAUUUUAGGAGGGGUUGCGUAUGUCUGUCUCUCUUUAAAAGUGUUUAAAUUUUGAAAUAUAAAUGAGAUGAAGUACCUGAUAGCCUAGAUAGCCUUUAAAGAAAAUGUAAAAAUUUUUAUGUGGCUGCAUCUUCAUGUGAAGCAAUGGAAGUAAGAAUGGUGGUAGUCUCUAAUUUGCAAGUGAAAAUUAAGAACAUGGUUUGUUUGGUUGGUUUUUUUCCCAUUUCUGAAGGCUGAUACAGGAGAGAGGUAUAUUAUUUGGCAAAGUUAAGAGAUGAGAUGUACAGCAGCUAUAUAUGUAAGAGUUUGCAGCUGUGUAGCCUCUUUCUCUAGGUCUGCCCUCACCUGGAAUUAGUCAAUUACUUGAAAAUAGCAUUUAUUAUUAAUGUCCUUUUUGUGAACCAAAUCAUUUCGGUCACUUUAGCUGAUAUGUAAAGAAAGUCAGAUACAACAUUCUCAGCUGCUUUUAGCUCUUGAUUUCUUUGUCUCAUGUGAGACUUCUUAAAGGAGAUAUUCUUGAGGCUAAUCUCCAAAUUUGCUGAACUUCAAAGACAUGAUCUUAAUUUAGAAGUGAAUUCACAUUUCCACUUCAUCUAAGAUAUUUCUAAUAUUUUUCUGCUGGUUUCCCCACAAAAGGCUGAAGCUUGGUCCUGACAUGGGAUACAUAAUUUAUCUGCUGAAAGAAUCUCAUCAUCUGCUUAAGACUUUCCAAUGUUUUUACUUGUUCAUUUUGAAUGUUGAAUUCCUCAGUUAUAUUUUAGUGUGGGAUUUAGUUGACCAAUUCAUUUCAGCUGUCUCUGAAGAUUUUAUAUUCACAUGAUGCACAUCCGUCACUCAUGUUUAUUGUUUCUGGGAAACUAAAACUUUGCAAAUGGUGCUUUAGCACUUUCACAAAGGCUAACACAAUAAAACCCGCCUUGGUCUUACAGGGUGCUUUCAGGGGUGGAAUGCAGAAGUGAAGUUGUGAAGAUGACCAGCUCUCUCGGUGGUGUGCUUUUAUAGUCCAUGCUACUGUAAAUAGAGCUGCACUGUGUAGCCUUACAACUUCCAUGGUGGAGCCGACACAUUUAUUUUUUGGCUAAACAGAGACAUUUUUACCACUGAAAUGGAGCCUUCCUGUCCUGCAGCAUGGCUGAAAAGAAAGCCAAGCUGGUUAAAACCAAAACAACACAAUGAAAUGAAACAGCGUGCAGCUGCCUCCUCAGGAAUAUCCCUGCAAGGCAGACAAAUGGAUACGUUUAUUUUCCCAGAUUUAUUUGCUAAUGUAAAGAUCCCAGUGCAAGCAUUAGCACGUCAAAUCAUUAUAUAGUUCUGGGGCAAUCUUGGGAGGAGUUGAAUUUCAUUAAAACAAAUUAGUAAUUUGAGAUUGCAGUAACUGUAGAUAUAAUCUUGUUCCCAUAUAU